rnacentral:rRNA from 1 species
UACGUAGGGUGCAAGCGUUAAUCGGAAUUACUGGGCGUAAAGCGUGCGCAGGCGGUUCGCUAAGACAGAUGUGAAAUCCCCGGGCUUAACCUGGGAACUGCAUUUGUGACUGGCGGGCUAGAGUAUGGCAGAGGGGGGUAGAAUUCCACGUGUAGCAGUGAAAUGCGUAGAGAUGUGGAGGAAUACCGAUGGCGAAGGCAGCCCCCUGGGCCAAUACUGACGCUCAUGCACGAAAGCGUGGGGAG